CCGGGUACAACAACAUUUGCAACAUAUACAGUCAUAACAGCAAGUCCGCUCUAAUAUGUAAUUUGGAGUAUUGUUUUGCGAUCGGCUGCACACACGAGAUUGGGAAAACUCAGCCAUGUAGUUUAUUUAGGUUCCUAGUCGAUGCUACAGUAAGGAAGCGGUGGAUACAAAGAUGUAGACACAAAGUUACGAAUCCUGCUCAAGCAGAAGCAUCUGCUUCAAACGUACAUGUAGAAACCGAAGUUGAUAAUGCUACCAAUAUAUCUGUACCAGACAACAAUGAAGUGCAUCUAAAUGAUCACGAGUAUACGGCAUCAAGUCCUCAACAUUUAAAAAGCUUCCCUUGAAGACUAGGAUGUUGUAAACUUGCAGUGGGAAAUAUACCUGCUUAAUUAAAGGAAACCAUCCAUGACAAUUGGGAACAUCAUAAUUGAAAGACCCUGGGAAGGGAUCAUGAACACUGUUGGGAGUGUCCAUUCAACUGAAAUACCAAAGUAAGAAGAAUUGAAGAUUGCAAUGGAUGCAACAGAAGUGACCUAAUGUGACCAAAUUGAUAUGAAUAGCCAGUCUUUCGCUCUCAGUAAUUAUAAAAGUCGCCACAAAGAAAAGACUUUUAAUAUGUAUUACACCUAAUGCAGCUCUUUUCCAAUUUUUAUGCUGGAUACAAAUCUGAUUCGGCAAUUGUGAACCAUUGUGGCAUUUUAGAGAAGUUGCAAGUUGAUGAUAUAUUCCUGGCGGACAAAGGAUUUUGUAUAUUUGACAAACUUCCAAAUAACAUGACACUUAAUACCCCACUCUUUCUUACAAAUAAAUCCCACUUCUCAAAAGAGGAUGCAAAAUAUUCAGCUUUGUGUGGCCCAUGUGAAUUUUAGGUUCCCCUUUUGAAGGAGAUUGCAGAUAAAUCCUACAAACGUAUUAGAUUAAUUGCAUGUAUGUAUAUACCUUAAAUACCUGCCACAUUGAAUAUAAAAGUUAAAUGUAACAAGAGAUGUUUGUAAAACACAUAUGCCCCCCAUGGUGCAAAAUUGAAAAGGGUUAUACACACACAUCAUUUAAUUGAUAGUAGUAUCAUCAAUUCAAAAUAUUGAGCAGACAAUAUCUUCCUAUGUCAAGAGUGAAUUGACCAUGUGACCUAAAAAUCAAUAGGGGUCAUCUACUCCUUAUUUUGUACCAUUGUACCAAAUUUGGUGUCAAUCAAGCAAAUAAUUCUUAAAAUAUAGGUGACAAUAUAUUACUAUGUCCAGUUCAACUAUUGACGUUUGACCUCAAAAUCAAUAUGGGUCAUCUUCUCCUGAAGAUGUACCAGUGCACUACGUUUGAUGUCUGUCAAGCAAAAGGAUUAUCAAGAUAUUGAGUGGACAGUAUAUUACUAUGUCCAGUCUGACCCUUGACCUUUGACCAUGUGACCUCAAAAUCAAUAGGAGUCAUCUUCUCCUGAAUAUACACCAGUGUACUAAGUUUGAUGUCUAUCAAGCAAAGGGUUCUCAAGAUAUUGAGCGGACAGUAUAUUCCAAUGUCCAGUUUGACCCUUGACCUUUGACCAUGUGGCUUCAAAAUCAAUAUGGGGUCAUUUUCUCCUAAAGAUGUACCAGUGUACCAAGUUUGAUGUCUGUCAAGCAAAGGGUUCUCAAGAUAUUGAACGGACAGUAUAUUCCUAUGUCCAGUUUGACCUUUGACCAUGUGACCUCAAAAUCAAUAGGAGUCAUCUUCUCCUGAAGAUAUACCAGUGUACUAAGUUUGAUGUCUGCCAAGCAAAGGGUUCUCAAGCUAUUGAGCAGACAUUAUAUUUCGAUGUACAGUUUGACCCUUGACCUUUGACCAUGUGACCUCAAAAUC